CGAGUAAAGUAAACAGCCGCGUAAAUUUACCGAAAGGGGAUUUAUGAGGAAAGUCCGGGCUGCGCAGGGCAGGAUAACGGAUAACGUCCGCCGGAGGCGACUCCAGGAAAAGUGCAACAGAGAUAUACCGCCAUGUCUGACAUGGUAAGGGUGGAAAGGCGAGGUAAGAGCUCACCAGUCGCUCAGGUAACUGAGGGACUCUGUAAACUCUAUCCGCAGCAACACCGUGGAGGAACACAGAGGGCUUGCCCGGCUCGUUCCGAGGAGGUGGCUUGAGGCAUACGGUAACGUGUGUCCCAGAUAGAUGGCUGUUCAUAAAGACAGAACCCGGCUUACUCUUUGCUCGUGCG
rnacentral:RNase_P_RNA from 1 species